AUACUUUAACGGGAAACUGGCAAACCUAAGGAAAAAUAGCCUGGUCUGUGUGCAAAGAAUAUUAUUUUGGUGAAGAAAAUUUGUAGUUCACUUCUUAUGGGCUUUAUUUAAUUCACAUAUUUCAAGAUAAUUUGUUGAGCAUUACUCAUAUAUUACAGGUCCAUGGGUCAGGAAUUUUAGUGAACUUUAGUGGUAUGUCAGAAUCACCAGGAGAGCUUGUUCAAACACUGAUUGCCAAGCUCCACCUCCAGAAUUUCUGUAUCAGUUUAAGGUGAAGAAUUGGCAUUUUUUACAAGUUGUCAGGUAACACUAAUGCUGCCUGCCAGGAAGCACCUUUUGAUAACCACUGUAACAAUUAAUAAAUUUAUCCUUUUCUCAGGGAUUGGAGUUGUCAAAAGAGAAUAAUAGCAAAUUUGAAAUAACUCCCAAAUGCUGUGACAACAAUUAAGAAGCAAUCUAUUACGAGAGAUUAGAGUGUGCUUUGCUGUGGUGAGCUUUCAAUCUAAAUCCUGAUUUUGUAACCAUGUGUCCUGUAGAUGUUGUGUGCUGUGGAAUUCUAGGUAAAGUAGGCAAGCAAGUUCUCUCUUACAUUGUACAGCUGGACUCUGUUCCAGUGUCUAAUUUCAAGUUCUGUAGCUUUGAAAUACUGCUGCCUGCAGCAUUGGUAACAGCAGAGUCAUUUUUCCAUCCCUUGGUCAAGUUAUGGGUUUUUACCUUGAAAUCAGUAGUUCAGAAGUAGUAGUCAUUACUUUUGCCAGCCUGCCAAUUUUGAAAGCUUUAACUUCCUGCAUUAUGUUUUCGUAAAAUACUUAAAGAGUUUCUGUUUUCUGCACUAAACUUAAUAUAGUAUGUGAGGAGGAUGGCUUCACAUAUUCUAAGUUCUUGGUAAGAAAUGGAAUAGUCUUGGUGACCCUGUGGCUUCCUAUUUUGUGAUUAGAAAGAUAGCACAGAUUAAUGUGAUUAGGAGUGUAUGGUCACCUGCAAGCAAUGGGCAGUUACGUAGCUUAUGUUUCAUAUUGUGUUCUUUAUGGCAUUUUGGAGUUACAAAUAAAAUGUUGUCUUAAAAAUGAAUAUUUUAUUGAUAUAAAAUAUCAUGGAAUGAAUGACAGGGUUUCUGAUUUUAGGCAAGAUGCUCUCUAAUAGCUGUGUAACUUUAAAUGAAAGCCAAAGCAGGGAGCAUAGUUCAAUAGCAAUGCCCAAUGCUCAGUAGAGAUGGUGGGCUGUGAAUGAGAUAGUGAUUUUUUUUUUCUUUGUUGUGGGGAUCAAACCCAAACCUUCAUGCAUACCAUGGCAAGUGCUCUACCACUAAGCCAUCAUGGGGUGGUAAGUUUUUAAUAUUCACCGAGAUGUAUCUUUGAUUUAUUUUUAGUGACAAGAUUUAUUUUGAAAUUCUAUGGAAUGCUGAAGGAUCUUUAAGAGAGUUAUAAUUAAGGAAGCAUGGCAUGGUGUGUGUAUAUAUAUUUAUUUAUUAAUGGCAGUAGCUAUGUUUCAUUUUCUUUCCCAUGCCCUCCCAAGCAACUGGUACUGCAAAAAUGAAGUAGUUCUAUGGUCAUUUAAUCACUAGAUUUUACUCGCUUUCAUUACCAUUGUUUUUUUUUAGCUUAACUUAAAUUAAUUAAUUAAUUUUUAUGUGGUGCUGAUGAUUGAACCCAGUGUCUCACACAUUCAAGGCAAAUGCUUUACCACUGAGCUACAGCCCCAGCUCCCACUAUCAUAGUUUAUACCACUUUGACAUUUUGUUAUGAGAGGAAUCAUGUAAAUAUCAGUGUGAACUCAUUAUUUUACAAUUCUUGAGUUAAAGUGCCUUUACAAUGGCUCAAAACUAGGGGAUAAGAAACCAAAUUUUAAAAUAAAGACAGGGUUUUAGAAAAGCAAUGAAAUGAUGUUACCUUAUGGUAAAAAAUUGGGCUAAGAUCUUAAUAAUAUGCCUUAAUUGACAGAAUAAUAUUGUUUCCUCAGGUCUGUUAACCAUUUCUUGAACAUCUGCUGUGGGCUAGACAAAUAAGACCAUACCUUUCAAGAGCUAAAAGCUUUGUGUGUUGUGUGUGAGGAGCACAAACUCUGGAGCCUGCUAUGUGGAUUUGAGCCAGGUUGCAUGUUUACGGGCUUUGUGUGACCUUGGACAAAUUAUUCCAGUGUGUCCUGCCUUAGUUUUUCCAUCUGUAAAAUGAUAAUAAGACCUAUCUCACUGAAUUAUUAUGAAGAUUAAAUAAGUUACUUGGUAUAAAACACAACAGUGGCACCUCAAAAACGGUAAAUAUUAGCUAUUGAUUUAAUCAUUUUUCGUGGCUGCUUUGUCAUUCUAGUCUCAAAUGUCACAUCUAGUGUGUCUUCCUAAUCACUUUUCACUCUUCUACUUACUGUUACACUUUUUGUGGGGAGAGGCCUUAUAAAACACUUUCAUUUCCUUCUAAUAUCUCCUUUGGUGUCUGAACCAUUUUGAAGGGAAACAUGUUUCUUGCCCCAAAUAAUCCAAGGACACAAAGAGACCAGGCAGAAGGUGAAACAAGUAUGCAGUAGGGAUGUGGGAACACUUCCAAAUCCUACAGAUUUGGAUAAGGAGAAGAAUAAAGAAGUUUUAAGUCACUGCAGGGAGAAGAGGAAAAGCUUUACUUUGUGAGGGCUGAAGCCUGCAAAUCUUCAGCAUCAUCCCAGUACAGGAUCCCCUGGGCUGCCUGCAACUGCUCUCUUCCUGAAUGAAGGUUACAGCCAUGUCACUGCACACUGAUGCCUGGUAAGUCAGUCAUGUUAUUAGGCUUGGGCUAGUCGGGCAUGAUUACAACCUCUUGAUCAGUCAUUAGUAAAUAUUUAGAGAAGAAAUCAAGGCACAUACCACAUUACUUUCUGGGAGCCUCGCUCUAUGUUGGACUCCCAGGGGGAGUCAGACACUGUCUUUAAACAGGUUGCAAUUGGGGUAAAAAGGCUAUGUAGAGAAGUCACUGAUGAAAGAAAACAAUGACAAGGUCAUAAGGCCUAAGAGGUGCAGAACAUAAGUGUUCUGGCAUUAAAUGUGUAUAGGGGAAAAUUCAAUAAUAAUACAGUGUUUGUACCUUAUGGGUGUGU
rnacentral:lncRNA from 1 species